rnacentral:tRNA from 1 species
GUGGGUGUAGUUCAAUGGUAGAGCACCGGAUUGUGGAUCCGGGUGUUGUGGGUUCGAGCCCCAUCUCCCACCCCA